UAGGGAAUCUUCGGCAAUGGGGGGAACCCUGACCGAGCAACGCCGCGUGAGUGAAGAAGGUUUUCGGAUCGUAAAGCUCUGUUGUUAAGGAAGAACGAGUGUGAGAAUGGAAAGUUCAUGCUGUGACGGUACUUAACCAGAAAGGGACGGCUAACUACGUGCCAGCAGCCGCGGUAAUACGUAGGUCCCGAGCGUUGUCCGGAUUUAUUGGGCGUAAAGCGAGCGCAGGCGGUUAGAAAAGUCUGAAGUGAAAGGCAGUGGCUCAACCAUUGUAGGCUUUGGAAACUGUUUAACUUGAGUGCAGAAGGGGGGAGUGGAAUUCCAUGUGUAGCGGUGAAAUGCGUAGAUAUAUGGAGGAACACCGGUGGCGAAAGCGGCUCUCUGGUCUGUAACUGACGCUGAGGCUCGAAAGCGUGGGGAGCAAACAGG
rnacentral:rRNA from 1 species